GACGAACGCUGGCGGCGUGCUUAACACAUGCAAGUCGAACGGAAAGGCCCUGCUUUUGUGGGGUGCUCGAGUGGCGAACGGGUGAGUAACACGUGAGUAACCUGCCCUUGACUUUGGGAUAACUUCAGGAAACUGGGGCUAAUCCCGGAUAGGACCUCCUGCUGCAUGGUGGGGGUGGGAAAGUUUCGGCGGUUGGGGAUGGACUCGCGGCUUAUCAGCUUGUUGGUGGGGUAGUGGCUUACCAAGGCUUUGACGGGUAGCCGGCCUGAGAGGGUGACCGGCCACAUUGGGACUGAGAUACGGCCCAGACUCCUACGGGAGGCAGCAGUGGGGAAUAUUGCACAAUGGGCGGAAGCCUGAUGCAGCAACGCCGCGUGCGGGAUGACGGCCUUCGGGUUGUAAACCGCUUUCGCCUGUGACGAAGCGUGAGUGACGGUAAUGGGUAAAGAAGCACCGGCUAACUACGUG
rnacentral:rRNA from 1 species